ACACUUGGAGCCUGAUCCAAAGUCCAUUGAAGUCAGUGGAAAGGCUCCCAUUGACUUCAGUGGAUUUAGGAUCAGGUCCUUGUUGC
rnacentral:pre_miRNA from 1 species